rnacentral:rRNA from 1 species
AUGUGGCAAGGAUAUGAUGGGGCUAGCAACAUGAAAGGGGAGAUCAAAGGGUUGAAAACAUUGAUCAUGAAAGAGUCACCCUCUGCCUAUUACAUCCAUUGUUUUGCACAUCAACUUCAGUUGGUUCUCAUAGCUGUGGCAAAGGACAAUGAACCAUGUUUGUGGUUCUUUGACCACGUUUCUUACUUGCUCAAUAUUGUUGGAGUUUCUUGUAAGCGCCACGACAUGCUUCGAGAUGUUAGAGCUCAAAAGGUGUUGGAAGCACUUGAAAUGGGUGAGAUUGAAAGUGGAAGUGGGCUAAAUCAAGAGAUGGGACUAGCUAGACCCGGCGACACUCGUUGGGGUUCUCAUUUUAAAACCAUUAUGCACAUUGUUAGCAUUUAUUCCACAAUCCUUGAAGUACUUGAUGCUAUUGGAAAAGAUCCUUCACAAAAAAGUGAGUGGACAAGAAUACGUGGAGUUGCUCAAGCCUUUGAAUCAUUUGACUUUGUUUUCAAUCUUCACUUGAUGCUUGUUAUUCUUGGCUAUACAAAUGAGUUGUCCAAAUCUUUGCAAAAGAGAGAUCAAUGA